rnacentral:rRNA from 2 species
GCUGGCGGCAGGCCUAACACAUGCAAGUCGAACGAGAAGCCUGGCUUCGGCCGGUGGAAAGUGGCAGACGGGUGAGUAACGCGUGGGAAUGUACCCUUUGGUUCGGAACAACUCCGGGAAACUGGAGCUAAUACCGGAUGUGCCCUUCGGGGGAAAGAUUUAUCGCCAAGGGAUCGGCCCGCGUCGGAUUAGCUUGUUGGUGGGGUAACGGCCUACCAAGGCUAUGAUCCGUAGCUGGUCUGAGAGGAUGAUCAGCCACACUGGGACUGAGACACGGCCCAGACUCCUACGGGAGGCAGCAGUGGGGAAUAUUGGACAAUGGGCGCAAGCCUGAUCCAGCCAUGCCGCGUGAGUGAUGAAGGCCCUAGGGUUGUAAAGCUCUUUCGCCAGGGACGAUAAUGACGGUACCUGGAUAAGAAGCCCCGGCUAACUUCGUGCCAGCAGCCGCGGUAAUACGAAGGGGGCUAGCGUUGUUCGGAAUUACUGGGCGUAAAGCGCAUGCAGGCGGAUCGUUAAGUCGGGGGUGAAAGCCCGAGGCCCAACCUCGGAACUGCCUUCGAUACUGGCGAUCUUGAGUCCGGGAGAGGUGAGUGGAACU